rnacentral:lncRNA from 1 species
AAGCUUCUCGGGUAUGAUUUUGAGUUACACUACAAACCCAGAAAAGAAAACAAAGUCGCAGACGCACUUAGCAGAAUCGAAAAACCUCACCUGUUAGCACUAUCCUCACCAACAGCUACAUGGCUCGAUGAGUUACGAUCCUACUUUUCCAACCAACCAAAAGGACAGAGACUGUUAGCACAACUGGAGCACAAUCCCUCUUCACUACCUCACCAUACAGUUCAAAACGGCUUGGUUUACAUCCAAGGUCAUUUAUUUAUACCUAACGUACCACAUAUUCGUUCUAUUCUUUUGCAGGAAUUCCAUACAUCUACACUAGGAGGUCACGUUGGAAUCCAAGCUACUUUUAGACGUCUUGCAGCUUCCUUCUCAUGGUCCAAACUCAAACAAGAAGUCACAGAAUUCAUUCGGAGAUGCACCAAUUGUCAGGCCACCAAGACACCCACACACAAACCAUACGGCCUCCUUCAAGCAUUACCCAUUCCCACCCAUACAUGGGAAGAUAUAACCAUGGACUUUAUAACCCACUUACCGCCGUCUAAUGGUAAAACCGCCAUUUGGGUUCUAGUUGAUCGGCUCUCAAAGUUUGCCCAUUUUAUCGCUUUACCUAAUCACUUCACAUCUAUAUCACUCGCAACAAUCUUCCUCCGAGAAAUCUAUCGUAUCCAUGGCCUCCCCAAGACAAUUAUCUCAGAUAGAGAUCCACUCUUUCUAAGCCAAUUUUGGACUCAACUCUUCAAACAACUAGGCACCAAACUGAAACACUCGAGUGCCUACCACCCGCAAACUGACGGACAAACCGAAGUGGUCAACAGAUGCCUCGAAUCCUACCUCCGUGCUUUCACCUACGAUGAACCCCGCUCUUGGCAACGAUUCCUCUACCUUGCAGAGUUUUGGUAUAAUACGAGUUUUCAUUCAUCCAUCCAAAUGACCCCCUUUAAAGCCAUGUAUGGAAGGGAUGCCACUACAAUUCACGACUACACACCGGGGAUGAAUCGUACAGCCUCUAUCGACAACUCCCUGUUAGAACACCAACACAUCAUCGAUCUUCUUAAUGUCAAUCUCAGCCAAACCCGCACCAGAAUGAUCAAACAGGCAAACAAGAAACGUCAAGACAAGCAAUUUUCAGUUGGAGAAUUGGUUUAUCUUCGCUUACGAAACUAUCGUCAACACUCAGUAGUCUCGCGAGAAAAUAAAAAGCUAUCCAAACGAUAUUUUGGACCCUACAAAAUACUCGAACGAAUGUGUCCAGUGGCGUAUGGCGUAUCGACUACAAUUACCAGAAACUUCCAAAGUACACCCAGUUUUCCAUGUGUCCCUAUUGCAAACCUGUCACACCACAGAAGUCUCACACGAGUUUCCAACUAAAUGGAUCAACGAUCUCCAAGCCACAACAACAACUCCAGCACAGGUCAUUAAUCAACGCCAGCUCCAGUCAGGGAUUCAACAAGUACUCAUUAAAUGGACCGACAAGGAUAUUUCUGAAGCCACAUGGGAAGACGCAGAAGAGAUCAAACUCAGGUUCCCGGAUUUUCCUACCGGACUCGAGGACGAGUCCAAUUUGGAGAAUGGGGGUAUUGAUACAACCCAUUCAGCAGCCCAAGAACAGGCCCGAUUGGAAGACCCACAAGCUACUAGUCGACCUAGAAGGAUCAUCAAGAAACCCAGCAGAUACUUGGAAGAACUAUGAGCUUUUACUCGGUCAACUAGUCAUAUAGGAUUCUCUUUAAUUCCACACAUGUUGCAUGCAUUCCUAAGAUGUUGGGUUCCACUAUACACCCACGUCCCUAGAUAUUAGUAGCAUUAGUUCAAUCAUUUUUUAUUUAAGCAUUGUAAGUUCAUAUGAAAAGAAAACACAAAAAAUUGCUCCAGUCUUGCUUCUCUCUCUGACAUUCUCUGGAGGUUAACCACCUCGAAUUAGGUUCUAUCACAAACCAUCUUUGUCUUGGACUCUUCUAGGAAACAUGCUCUUCUUGUAUAAAUAGCGAAUGACGAUUUAACGGGAAAUGGAAAUGCAAAGAAGAAGUUUGCGGUUAACAUCACUG